UACAAGUUGUCAGGCAAAGAUAUUACAGGUAUAACGAAACCAGUAACGCAGUUUAACAUGAGGUUGGAGUUGCGUAUUUUUGCGUUGCAAAAUCCAACAGAACGAUUUUGAAAUGCUACUAAAAAAUUUGGUUCAAGUGUAUUUGUAGAAUGGGGGGAAUUCACAGAUGUAUGAAAUAUGCGGGUUUGGAUAUAGUGGAAAUCGGUUUUUGUUUCAUCUGGAAGAUUGGCAUGUGUAAAGCUGGACAAUAUCUAAAGAUAGUUUCCAAUCCUGCCUUCAGCACGGAGCGAGGUUUGUAAACGGGUGGUGCUCCGUACAGAACCAUACUGAGUUCGAACUGCAGCUUCCGUGGGAGGCAACGCCUAUUAUAUAACAUUCCUAACUUAUCCAUCAGAGGAGGGUUUUUUUUUAUUUUAACACCCAUAUAUGAGUCAUACUGAAGAUGAUUUUCGUGAAGUCCACGGGAACGAAUCUCACGGCGGAGUUAAAAACAAGAGUUCGCCAAUUUACUAAACCAUAGAGCAGAAGGACGGCCAACAGGACAACACCACGGGUACUUCAAACGCUGAGCAAGGUCCAAUCCGAUUUGUAAAGUAACGUCAGCUCGGACGAACUGAAGUCUCAUUUCAAUAUCUGGAAUCUACCUUUUGAUCAGGACGUGACAUGACC